GAGGGAAUGAUGCACAAUGGCGGCAGAGCAUGAAUAUUCCUAUCGAAGCUGCAUAUUUACUGUGUCAGUCAGGAACCCACUCCUGAGGUUUCAGAAAGGAUACAGGUCUGUGAAAGGCACGGAUCCACUGCAGCUCCUACACAAGAAUGCCAGAGAAGACUUUGCUUCGAAUCAGCCAUGCGCUCUGCAGGACCGGCUUCCACAGGAGGACUCUCUAUGGAUUCUAUUCCCUGAACAGACAAAUUAGUGGACCGACG
rnacentral:lncRNA from 1 species